rnacentral:lncRNA from 1 species
CUGAAAUACAGACCGUUCCUGAUUGUGGUUAUGGAGGAGGUGUCUUCAAAAGCAUCAAGGAAAAAAUAUCAAAUAAUUGUAUUUGUUUGACUGAAGACUUAUCUGGAUACAGGAGGGCAAGAAUCUUCUGUUCCAUAUGCAACAUCUUCUGGCAGCCUUGUCCUUUUUCUGUCCUUGACGACUACAAUAACAAACAGCUGUUGCCGAGGCAUUGCUGUUGACGUGUUACCUUUGAAACCUCCCUCCUGUUAUGGAAUAAGCCUCUUCCAGAUCAUGGCUCAUUAUCAUCUAGUCUGACAAGCAGCCUUGUUGCCACGGAGACCCAAAGGGAUCAGGCGUGGCAUUUGCCUGCAUCAUCACCCCCUCCAGGGGAACUAUAAGGACUCUUCUGUGCGUCAUGCGUGGCUGUCCUGGGACUGGCUGCCACCAGACUUUUCCUGCGGGUAAAACCUAAACAAAUGAUCAGCUGCAGAUAAUAUCAAGACCUCUGUUUGAUAUGUUAAUAGUGACAGCCAGAUUUCCACAAUUAACAACGAGGUGGGAAGAAAACACUGUAGUCACCAGACUUGGGAGGAGAGGGUUUGUAUUCACAUAAACACAACCUCACGUCACUGCUUGCCACCACAAAGGGCUCUGUUCACUGUUUUGUUCUCAAAGAUCAUCCUUGCGCUCAUCCUCUGAUCUUGAAUUUCUACAUAACUUUCUCAGUUUAUAUGCCCUGUGGCAAGUGCAGCAAGCACUGUUUCCUGUUUCUAAACUUGUAGAAAAUCAUCCAUACAUCUUACAGUUGUCAGUUUUAACCAGAUAACAGUGGCACUUUGUUGCUGCUUUUUUAUCUUUAGCUUAGGUUAACAGGACCCUGGAAGUAAAGUUGUUGAUUUAUUCAAUAGAGUAUUCUCAAUUAAUUUGGCUAGAUUUCUACAUGAUUCAAAAUCUAAAAAAGUAGAAAUGCAUGCUUACAUGUCUAAGGCCUGAAAAAUUGGUAGUGACAUCCCAAAA